GAUGAAGAACGCAGCGAAAUGCGAUAAGUAAUGUGAAUUGCAGAAUUCAGUGAAUCAUCGAAUCUUUGAACGCACCUUGCGCCUUUUGGUAUUCCGAAAGGCACACCUGUUUGAGCGUCAUGAAUACCUCAAUCUCCAUCUUUUCUUCGGAUUGAUGGGUGACUUGGAUGUUGAGCCCUGCUGUAUGCUAUAUCAGCUGGCUUUAAACUUAUUAGCCGGCUCUGUACUGGAUCGGUUUGACUCGACGUGAUAAUAUUAUCGUUGAGGAUGCAUGUCUCAUGCAGCCGGAAAGUAUCAAAGCAGCUUCUAGCUUGCCUUUAGUGCACUUUUACAUUUUAGACCUCAGAUCAGGUGGGACUACCCGCUGAACUUAAGCAUAUCAAUAAGCGGAGGA
rnacentral:misc_RNA from 1 species